GCUGAGGCAGCGCUACGGACCCGGCGCUGCUGUCAAUAGCACCCCUCCCCCUCCCCACUGGCGCGCGCUCCACCCCCUCCCCGCUAGCGCGCGCUCCCGCACUAGCAACCCAACCGCCACUCGUGGGGGGGAGGGGGGAAUGUCACCCAGAGCCCCAGACCCUGGGGAGAGAGACAGUCAUUCACCAUCAGCCCCAUGGACUUGUCAAGAUUACUUUCAGGGGGCAGUGGUACAGCAGACUUCUCCACAGUGCCCUGCCAAUGAGCUUCAACCCUGAACUGAAGAGAAAACAUUUAACGGUCUGGGGAGAGGCUAAGUGGGAGUGGAAGAGAAGCAGGAAGUUACAGAGAAAGGGGUGAAGUGCAGUGCAUUCUAUAGGCCUGUUGCCUGUUAACUGCAGUCUUGGUGAAUAUCAAAAAAAGGUGUGUGAAGGAGCUUUCAUUAUUGUCAUUUCCACAUAAGCCCAGAUCCUGCAGUUGACUGUGUGUGUGGGUGGGACUCUAUUAAAGUCAAUGAGGCUCCACACUGGGGAUGGGUUCUACCUGUGAGAAGUCAGUUGCAUGAUCAGGGCCCUAGUGCGACGCCUCAGGGUGCAUUCCGGAGCCUGCUUACCAAGAUAAUGUCACCUUUGUCUACAGUGCUGAUACAUAUAAUAAUGUUUUAUGGCUCUCAUAAGCACAAAGCAUACAAACUCUAUGUCUAAGGUUCUCUGAAAUUGCACGGACUUACUGCCAACCACUGUAAAGUCAUGGCUAUCACUGAACCUUGCUAGAGCCUGGAGCUGAUGCAUAAGGGCUCAAGUAUAUGACUUUCAUUAUAUGUCAUGGGUUUGUAAUUUUUUUUGCACAACCAUACUGUUAAAUAAUAAUAAUUCCUGCCACUUACUGGCACAAUUCUUGACCAGAAUCACAGUAGCUGUGAUGUUGCAGCAGAUCAGCGGUCCACUGACACAAAUUUUAGAAGUCUAAAAAGGGGAAUGAAAGGGGAGAUUAAUUUGAAAUUAGUCAUGUGCUGAAUGUCCCCCUUAUGCUUAUUUAGCUGAGGUAAUCACAAGAAAAAAAGUAACUCUUUUAAAAAAUAAAGUUUGUAUUUUUUAGAAAACUCCCAGAGUAUUAUCUUGUAUGAACUCUGAACAUUUUGUAUUUUAACAUAAAAGUAAUUAAAAAUUACACACUGUACAUAUGGAAAUACAGGUUUGAUCCUCAUAAUGAAUUAAUACAAUUUAGCUUUCUUUAAUGUGUAUGCUACAGGGCGGAUUCUAAAUUCCAGUGUAUUUUUUACAUUUAAAACAAAUGAGACUAUUUAUGAGCGUAGGGAUAUAUAUGUGUAAUACAGAAAGUAUGCAUAUUUUAUUUACUGAACACUAGUGCCUUCACACAACCUAUUUUUUGUUGACAUUUGUUUAUUUUCUCUGGGAGAAUGACAGAUCUGCAGCACAACAUAAUACCAAUCCAAAGGCCAGAGUUUCAGAGCAGACUGGAUUUCAGGUAAAUAGAAACUGAUCCCAUAGUGACAGUGAUGGCCCCACACUUCCUGCUUCAGCUUUUGAAAGACCUCCCCACCAGCUAAGUCAUUAAAUCACUUCUUGUUUCCAGACACUGACAACUUUGGAAUUUAUUUUACACUGCUACUAUUCAGACUACUUAAAAGGACAGAAUGAACUGUUCUAGGCCCAAAUUUUCUGAUGCACCAAAGCUCUGGUAAAUGUAGCAGAAUUGGGGAGCCAUCCAGUAGCUGGUUAUAGCUCUCUGAUCUCUGCCCAGCCAUGUCUCUGGUACAAGUUUGAGCACUCUAGGGGCAGCUCUAAUUUACCUAAGCUGAUAUUUAUCCCUAAUUGACUGUCCACCAACUGGAGUGCAGUGAUCUUUAGGCAUAUUUCCUAGGAGGGUGUUGCAAAAGUAACCUAUGAUGGCUCUUUGCCUGCUGGGACUUACCCACAUCAAGAGAAUCCUCAGCAAGUGAGAUAAAGGGCAGUUUUCAUCUUUUUGUCCCAAUUCUCACCCGUUUUUUUUUAAUCAAAUUAGGAAUUAUGAAAUGCUUGGAAAAGAGCACAUUAGAUUUCUUAUGAAGUGUGAUAUGGAUUUAUUGACUUUGCAGUGGGAGCCAUUGGCUGGGAUGGUUCCAGUGGUACCCUCUGCAUGAGAGUCAGCGCGUAAACGAUGGAAAGGGAGGCCGGGCACCGGAGUUGUUUGAAUCUGCUAAAGCGCUAAGGUCCUACUUGAGUCAGCAAGAAGUUCUUGCUGCCUCUACGAAAAAAUAAUGAAACUUCUGCAGGAUUGAGAACCUUCUGUGUUUAAAAGGAGAAAUAUAUAUAUACACACACACUGAUGCAAUUAGAAUGGAAUUGAAGGAGAGAAGUGAGGCUAAACGAUUUUGUGCUAAUGAACCGAGUGAUGUGAUUGUUCUAAAAAAAAUUGCAAUGGACAUGCAGGGAGAUAUACUGCGUUUGAACAGAAACUGUGGACCAGGUGAGAUUUCGAGGUUUUUUCUUUCCUGUCGUGCGGUAUCUAGCCGGAUGAUUUCAUACUGUUUAUGUUACAUUACAACGGAUUCUUUUCCUAUUAUUUAUUUUCUUGACAAAAAUACAAUAGUCACUUUGAAACCCCCUCCCCUCUCGCGCGCAAACACUCAUUUUACUGCAAAGUGGCGGAGGGGCUUUGAUACUAUGGCUCACUUUUAUGAUAAUAGAAAACUCUGAACGACAGUGAAAUAAAUACAUAUCUUGUAGUUAUUUUCUUAUCUUGUAUCCUGAUCCUGGUUUAUCUUCUUUACAACUUUGCGCUUGGGAAUAAUAUCUCAUCGCUGCUGCUGCUGCUGCUGUUUCGGCAACAUCCAACAGUUUGCUCAUCCUCCGUAGGACUAUGAGUAUUUUUUUUCUGCCGCGCUAUAGUAAACUACAAGAGAAUUUAAAUAAACCAGUCUGAAAAUAGACAAUGUUUGGUGUCAGUCGGAAGACUGAGUUCCUUCAGUGUGUGGAGUGAAAGCCGUUUCAGAAGGUGCAGCUUUUUAAAAGCUCUUUAAAUAAUGUGUACGAUUAAUUCUAUGAACACUUAAUGAUGGUAAUAAAGGGUCAAACUAAUGACUAAAAGAUGAAUAAACAUUCUUGGUAAGAGUCCAGAAUUGAAUAGACAGUAGUUAGGAUAUCACUUAAUGCUUUUCUUAAAAUUAAUGAAAAAAGAAUUGUGAGUCAUUGGAACAACUUUUAAAAAUAUGCUUUUAGGACAAAUGAAAUGGAUUGUUGUGAUGGGAAUGGACAGAGGAUAAAAGCAGAAGGUUAAACGUUUGAAUAGCAAAAAGCAAGCGUACAGGCUCCAAACGUUGGCUUUCAAACUCAGUGUAAUUGCCCAGAUGCAGGUUGAAUUCAGUAAAAAGCACUGCGUUUAGAAAUGUAACAAUAGCGCUUUAGAAGUCUCUAAAGAACACCUUAAUUGUUGGAAUUUAGAUAACUAGGAAACUCGUUGUGACCUACAUUACUGUUCUGAGUCAGCACUGAACAGCCAGCUUGCAAACUUGUACACACUCCAAUUCUUACCGUCAGCAACGGAUCUUUUGGGUGGAGCUUUUUUCCACAGUUUCUGUAAGCACUUUAUUUGGUGGUUGCUAGUCCCAUGUUUACAAAUAAACAAAGUUAGAUGGCGAGACUAGGUGGGUGAGGUAAUAUCUUUUAUUGAUAAUAUCCUGGGACCCAGCAGGACUACAACACUGCAUACAAAGUUACAUGGAGUCCGUUUCUCGUCUCAUAUCUAGCAUUGUCAAAACUGCCUCCCUACUUGCGGUUUUCAGUACUGUACAGUCAGAAUAGACGAAAUUUAAGAUUAUUUUAAUAGCUAAUUUGUUAGUAAAAAGCUUAUUUAAGCAAAUAUAAGUUUCUCCAAGUUUAGAAAGAAGGUAAUUAGAAGAAUGACACUGCAUUUUCAGAAGGGCUUCGGAUUACUUAGCUGAUCAGAUAAUAGAUGUUACGUAGGUAAGAGCUAUUGCAUGAUACAUGCCGUUUUUCUUUCUUAAUACCGUAGGGAGUGUGUAAAGUUCACAACAAAAAGUUCUUACCAUAUUGUUUUCCGUGUUCCGUGUUUAAUACACUUUAAUACAAGCUGUGCAAGGGCUAUAUACCAAAUGUCGAUGUCGUUAAUUAAGGAUUAUAGUCUAUUCAUGUUUGAAGUGAAGUUAGACAUAGUUGAAGAGACUGCAUGUUGAACAUACAGUUGAACACUGAAGAAGCGAGAAGACACACGUUAACAGUUUGAUCAGUGAUCAGUACAUAUAACACUACACCUCCACUCGUGCCGAGCGAGUGUCUACGGAAAUCAGUCAGACUCCGCGUCCAUUUAUAUUCAAAAUGACAAAAAGAGUUCAGAUGAAAUACCCUCGGAAACUCCGUCUUUUGGAAAGAACCCCUUUCUGUGUUUUUGUUUGUUUAUUAUUUUUAAUCAUGUCGUUAGCACGAGUAAACAGAAACGCCAACAUUCAUAGUCUUAAAUUUAUGGAUUCUAAACAAGAGAUUUACUAUGGCUGAUCACCAAUUUGUAGUGUUCCUUUCUUUGCAUCUUUUUGCAAACUCUUAUAAUUUUCUUGGCAAACAAAAACAAAACAAAAAACCCCCCCAAAACCCCAAACACAUUCAGGAAAGUAUCAGAUUUCAGAAUCAGUCAAGGACAUCAAAUCUAAUUUCCUUCUAUUGAGAUUCGGGACCUUUCUUUCCUUAAAACAUUACUUUUAGAAUGAUUAUGUUUAUUUGAUUCAACACUGUUUACUAAUAGCUUUUAAUAGCUCAUUGUUUCCUGAAGUGGUUAGAUUUCAGUCUCGCUUCUUAGUAUGAAAUCAGCGAGGCUUCUGUAUAACGAUUGAAAUCCACCUCCUAUUCACCUAUAGCUGAAACGAGAACAGAAAACGUCAGUUCUAAUUUCAGAGGGGGAAGGGAGGGGAGGAUUUUUUUUUACAGUGAAAUGGCAGGUAUCCAAGCAGUGUUUCUUAGCUCAGGCUUUGUGAGACGAUAGCCUAAAGUAGAUAAAUUCGCCACUAUUACAUCUCCGUAUCUGGUUAAUGCUAGUUUAGUGACACUCACUAAACAAAGCAAAUUUAAUCUCUGUAUACUCUUAAAAGGAAAAAAAAAUAUUCCUGACACGGAGAGAGAUUGUUCGAAACCUCAAUUUAAAACCUCUCCUUUUCUUUCUAACUGUCAAAUACAGCUGAGAAAGUUUUGCGAGUACAGCUCGUUCUUGGAAGAGGAUCAGAUAUAUUUAAAGGGGAGAGGGUGGGUAAUAGGUAGGUGUUUUCGUUUUGUCUGCCAGCAUAAUCCGACACCCCGUGCCUGUGUCUAAACCGAAAUAGAUACUACUAGAAGAUCUGAAUCAAUCCGUGAGAGUUUUAUUUAAUACGGAUUGGAGUUUUCCGGGAGUCCUGAAGUUUCCUCUGUUAUUUCAAUCCCUUAAAGCUCCACGAAGCGGGGAUCUGGGGCAGCCCCGGGAAAUAAAGCCUUGCACCUACUUCUCGAGUCCAAAGUGGCGAAAGGGUUAAGGAGUCCUGCACUGGGCUCGCACAAGGGCAAUUGGAAAAACCGAAUCGCUUCCAAGACAUCCGUUUAGUCAGUACGAAAAAAAAAAAAAGGCUUGCAAAACGUGGUUUGGGGAAACCUGCAGAGGAAAUGGACACAGUCUGUGCUUCAGGGCUCAGUCCUCACGGUGAAGCUGAAGGAAUCAGCAGCUUCCAGUUAACACAAUUCAACCCCAGAUGAUUCUGUCCGUGGACUUCUCCUGUUCAUAGGGCUGCAUAAUUUCAUAUGUAUUUUUUACCACCACACAAAUCAAGCACGCUCGACCAGGUUUUUAAGGGUUGGAUGAUUUAUAUGCAUCAAAUCGGAUCUCUUUGAAAGCUUUUGUUUCACUCGUGUUCUUGAUAAUAUUUCUGUUAUCAGCAAUGUGCAUCUGUAAAUGUUAAGAAUCUAAAGUUUGUCCUUUAUUGUGACAUUCUAGGAAUGAAAAUAUAGAAUAUAAUGAAGUAAAUCCUUUAUUACGUUUCAGGGUAACACAUGACGUAAAAUAAAGUUUCGGAGACGGUAAGUGCAAGGAACUAGACUGUCCUAGAGCAAAAUCGCUUUAAAAAACAGAGAGAAAAAGACCCAUGUCUUUACAAAAUGUGGUCUGUAUGAUUUGCUUAAGUAAAUUAGCAGGUGUUUGAAAAUGUGCGUGUCACUAUAUAUUGAAUUAAGCAUAUAUUGCUCUAAGUAAUGAAAUAAAAUAAUCUGGAUUUGGUCAGCAUCUCCCUUAUUGUUGGUGGGGUAUCUAUAAGCCUUACCCCGUUUCUUAUUUUGAAACAUUCGCCACAACACUCAACCAGGGAUGUGAUUUUUUUUUAAAUAUAUUGUUUUAAUAAUGGACUACGUGUGUGUGUGGAGGGGAACCAUUCGCUGAAGCAGUGGCUUUCAGCCUUUUCAGACUUCUGUAUCCCUUUCAGGAGUCUGAUUUGUCUGGCAUACCCCCAAGUUACACCUCACUUAUAAACUACUUGCUUACGAAAUCAGACAUAAACAUACAAAUGUCUUACAGCACACUAUUACAGGAAAAAUGCUUACUUUCUCACCUUUACCAUAUAAUUAUAAAAUAAAUCA